GGGGCUGACUGGUUUCGACGUCGGGAUCUGGAAGUCGAGCGUGCGACCCGAGUUGUCUCAGACUCGCUAAACGGGGACACCAACAGAACCGCCAACGAGCAGUUCGCUCUCGCCGCCUGAUCCUUCAGGAGGUACGAGAGUCACCGUGACCAGCAAUGGCGCACGGGGCCGGACCCCCACAGCCCGGCAACAGAAGUGGGGGUGGACCGCAGGGAGAGACCGCUGACGGCGUGAAAGACCGCUGACGCCGGGGAAAGACCCGGCAGCUGACCUCGGUCAGCCGACCCGCCGGUGCCACGGCUGUGAGUGGCAGAGCGGGAAUGGUCGUAUCGGGUUCGGUGACCACCAGGCGGACGGGGGUUCGAUUCCCCCCAGCUCCACCG
rnacentral:tmRNA from 1 species